rnacentral:rRNA from 1 species
GACAGAGGGUGCAAGCGUUGUUCGGAAUUACUGGGCGUAAAGGGCGCGUAGGCGGCCUUCUAAGUCGAACGUGAAAUCCCCGGGCUCAACCCGGGAACUGCGUCCGAUACUGGAAGGCUUGAAUUCGGGAGAGGGAUGCGGAAUUCCAGGUGUAGCGGUGAAAUGCGUAGAUAUCUGGAGGAACACCGGUGGCGAAGGCGGCAUCCUGGACCGGCAUUGACGCUGAGGCGCGAAAGCCAGGGGAGCAAACGGG